AGUUUCAGGAGAUGGUGAGAGAGAGACAGAACUUCCUGCAUAGGGCUCUUGGUCAGCUGCAGUUCCGACGGGAGUUGAGCCGCCUCCAGCUCUUGCACACUCAGAUCAUUGCCUCAGGAACCCUGGUGUGUUUGGAGAAUUACCCUGGAGACAUAUUCUAUGGGACAGGCAGCACCUCUCUCAGGGGGCAGGCUGCUGCCUGCCCACUGCUGACCCCAUUCCUGAAGCACCUUACUGCAAUGAUAGCAGAAGCUCAAGGCCAUAGCCCAGGGCUGAAGGAUCAGAGGCCAGGAAUAAAUGUCGAUAAAGCUGAUAUCAAAUGAACUUCACCAUUCUUCUCCAUCUUGAAGAAAAUAGACAUCCGGUCCCAAGCCCAGAAGGCAGAAGCUGAAUUGCAAAGACAAGUGCCUCACAAACCAGACCCCAAAAGUGCUUUGCAAGAUCUCCUGAAACCUCAGACAGUGCAGAAGGAAGAGCUGGUAGUUGUGCAACCCACAGACCUUUCUGCCAGGGAGUUUGUGGUUUACCAGUAUGGCCUCUUCCUCCUGCACCUGCUCACCCCCCAGUUGCAUGCUCCAGAAAUCACCCUGCAGAUUGCUUCCCAUCUUCCUGCCAUGGAAGCCUCAGGCAAUGCCUUCCAAGACUCCUUCUAUCAGGUGCUACAAAUCCCCAUUCCCAAAUAUGGGUUGUAAA